rnacentral:rRNA from 1 species
CCUGGCGGCCAUAGCGAACAGGAACCACCCGAUCCCAUCCCGAACUCGGAAGUGAAACUGCUCAGCGCCGAUGAUAGUGUGGGGUUCCUCCACGUGAAAGUAGGACACUGCCAGGC